AGUGGUUCUCCGGUGUGGACAAACUCACAGAGGCUGAGAGUUACAGCCAGUCAUGUGAGAUCGAGCCAUUGUCAGAGUCAGCCUCCAACACUCUCAAGAAGAAGAACACAGGAAUCAUCAAACGCUGGAGCGAUCGCCAGCCUGCCAGCUCGGAGCCAGGCUGCAGCAGUGCGGGCAGCUCCCACUCCAAGUCCUUUGACCAGCUGCGUUACGCCCCCU